rnacentral:tRNA from 1 species
GGGCGGAUAGCUCAGUGGUGAGAGCACCUGCCUUACAAGCAGGGGGUCACAGGUUCAAAUCCUGUUUCGCCCA